CGUUGCCACCUUCGCAAGAGUUUUGAGCAGUGAGUUCAACUCCAUCUCACCAUAAAAAGUCUAGUAGUUAACCAAAAAAAAAAAAUCUUAACUGAAAAACCAAAUAGACUUUAAUUAUUGAAAAAAGAGUUGAAAGCUAAAAAUUAAACCAUAAUUACUAAUUAGUCAUCCAAAGAAGACAAGAUGUACUUGGUCAUGAAUAUAUUAUAAGAGGAAGUAAUAUUUAGAGCAUGUCUAUAUGUGUCAUGUCUGAACUUCGGUUUAGGUUUCUCCACUAAAUAUUUUACAAAAUACUCAUUUAUAUGCGCAGUCAUCAGGUUUUGGGAAUACAUGUAAACUGCAAAAAGAAAAACGGACGUUAACGAAAUAAUGCAAUUAUAGUCAACCGUCCCUCUACCGAAAAUAUACCUCA